AGUGAACGCUGGCGGCGUGCCUAAUACAUGCAAGUCGAACGGACACACAGUAAGCUCUCGCUCCUACGGUUGGCGAGUGGCGGAUGGGUGACGCAUGGAUCGGCUACCUCUUUUUCUGGGAUAACAUCGUAGGGACACUUAUGCUAACACAGCAUAUGAUCUACGGGAGAGAGCAGUGGUUCUACGCAGUUUUCGUGUCACUUUUAGCUGAUGUCGCUCUACAUAGUUGGCGAGGUAAAGGCCCACCAAGGCAACGAUCCGUAGCGGGUCUGAGAGGAUGAUCCGCCACACUGGAACUGAGACACGGUCCAGACUCCUACGGGAGGCAGCAGUAGGGAAUAUUCGGCAAUGGGCGCAAGCCUGAUGCAGCAAUGCCGCGUGAGUGAAGAAGGCCUUCGGAUCGUAAAGCCCUUUUAUUAGGGAAGAAAAAAUGUGUAUGAAUACCCCGCUGUCCUGACGGUACCCAAAGAGAAAGCACCGGCUAACUACGUG
rnacentral:rRNA from 1 species